UAUGUUCACUGGCAUCAGAGACUCAAAGCAGGAAAGACUUUCUCUCCUGCUGCGUUGAAGAAGCAAGUCACAUGAGUUUGACAGCUGCAAGGAAAUAAUUCUGCCCACAAUCACAUGAGCUUGAAAGAAGACUCCCCAUUUCAGAGAAGAAUGCAGGCUGGCUGACACCUCAAUUACAGCAGAGACCCUGAGCAGAAGGCCCAGGUACUCCUAACCCACGGAAACUAUGAGAUGUUAGCUUAGUCGUGUGGAAGAAGCCCAAAAUUGACAGAGAAGAGACCUGGGUCUUUGAUUUGUCACCACCUGCAAGCAGUCUCUGUUCCUUCGGAGGCUCCAGUUAACUUUAUACCUGGAGCCAUCAGAAUCUUUGGAGAAAGAAGUUUCUAUCCUGUGAUAUAACAGUACCUGUGGAACUGUUACAUCUCAGAAUGCUGCCCAUGAGAGUGAUCUACCAUGAAUAAAGCCGCAUCUCGAGUUAAGCAGGAACAAUGGCUUGUCAUUAGUUUCCUUUCUGAAAAUGAUAAAAUCAAGACACUUUGGAUGGGGAACAUGGCCAUAAAAAGUGCAGUGGUGUGGGUUUGCUGGGA